GAUGAACGCUGGCGGCGUGCCUAACACAUGCAAGUCGAACGGACAGGCCAUGAUUUUGCGCGGCGCUCGUGAGGCGAACGGGUGAGUAUCACGUGUGUAACACGUACCUGACAUUGGGAUAUAAUCUGGAAAAUGGGGAUCAUAUCGCAUAGGAUCUCUUGCUGCACGGUGGGCGAUGGUAAGAUUCGGCGGUUGUGGAUGGUCUCGCUGCUUAUGAGCCUGUUGGGGGGGUAGUGGCUUACCAAGGCUUUGACGGGUAGCCGGCCUGAGAGGGUGACCGGCCACAUGGGGACUGAGAGACGGCCCAGACUCCUACGGGACGCAACGGUGGGGAAUAUUACACAAUGGGCGGGAGCCUGAUGCGACGACGCCGCGUGCGGGAUGACGGCCUUCGGGUUGUGAACCGCUUUCUCCUGUGACGAGGCGUGAGUGACGGUAAUGGGUAAAGAAGCACCGGCUAACUACGUG
rnacentral:rRNA from 1 species